UACGUAGGGGGCUAGCGUUGUCCGGAAUCAUUGGGCGUAAAGCGCGUGUAGGCGGUCCGGUAAGUCCGCUGUGAAAGUCGGGGGCUCAACCCUCGAAUGCCGGUGGAUACUGUCGGGCUAGAGUGCGGAAGAGGCGAGUGGAAUUCCUGGUGUAGCGGUGAAAUGCGCAGAUAUCAGGAGGAACACCUAUGGCGAAGGCAGCUCGCUGGGACGUUACUGACGCUGAGACGCGAAAGCGUGGGGAGCAAACAGG
rnacentral:rRNA from 1 species